ACAACAUUUGGACCGUCGGUCUACAGAGCAAUAUCACCCGCUCGGUGGAAGAUCUUCCGUCGU
rnacentral:pre_miRNA from 1 species